GAGUUUGAUCAUGGCUCAGGAUGAACGCUGGCGGCGUGCCUAAUACAUGCAAGUCGAACGCGCAGCGAGAGGUGCUUGCACCUUUCAAGCGAGUGGCGAACGGGUGAGUAACACGUGGAUAACCUGCCUCAAGGCUGGGGAUAACAUUUGGAAACAGAUGCUAAUACCGAAUAAAACUUAGUAUCGCAUGAUAUAAAGUUAAAAGGCGCUACGGCGUCACCUAGAGAUGGAUCCGCGGUGCAUUAGUUAGUUGGUGGGGUAAAGGCUUACCAAGACAAUGAUGCAUAGCCGAGUUGAGAGACUGAUCGGCCACAUUGGGACUGAGACACGGCCCAAACUCCUACGGGAGGCUGCAGUAGGGAAUCUUCCACAAUGGGCGCAAGCCUGAUGGAGCAACGCCGCGUGUGUGAUGAAGGCUUUCGGGUCGUAAAGCACUGUUGUAUGGGAAGAAAUGCUAAAAUAGGGAAUGAUUUUAGUUUGACGGUACCAUACCAGAAAGGGACGGCUAAAUACGUGCCAGCAGCCGCGGUAAUACGUAUGUCCCGAGCGUUAUCCGGAUUUAUUGGGCGUAAAGCGAGCGCAGACGGUUGAUUAAGUCUGAUGUGAAAGCCCGGAGCUCAACUCCGGAAUGGCAUUGGAAACUGGUUAACUUGAGUGUUGUAGAGGUAAGUGGAACUCCAUGUGUAGCGGUGGAAUGCGUAGAUAUAUGGAAGAACACCAGUGGCGAAGGCGGCUUACUGGACAACAACUGACGUUGAGGCUCGAAAGUGUGGGUAGCAAACAGGAUUAAAUACCCUGGUAGUCCACACCGUAAACGAUGAAUACUAGGUGUUAGGAGGUUUCCGCCUCUUAGUGCCGAAGCUAACGCAUUAAGUAUUCCGCCUGGGGAGUACGACCGCAAGGUUGAAACUCAAAGGAAUUGACGGGGACCCG
rnacentral:rRNA from 1 species